UAAUAGUACUCACCUCAGAAGGCUGUUGUGAGAAUUAAAUAAUUCCUGUAAAGCAGGUAGCAGAGUGCUUGGCACAUAGCAUCCAGGAAAAACUGAGCGAAUUCUUGUGAAACUGAAGUACACUGAAGGUGUUUGCUAUUUAAAGGUAUCUUCUGGUGGAUCGUCUUGGAAAACAUGGACCCAAAUCUUGCGAGAGCUAUCAGUGAGUCUCCUCUCCUGCUCUGCACCUCUCAGGACUGUGUCCCAGCUCCAGAAGAAUGAGCCUGCACAGCUUGGACUGUCACCUCUGGCAGGUUCCUGCUCUUUGAUGAAGCCUCGUCAUAAUCACAGCUAUGCCAAAAUAUGUGCUUUGCCUCCUGGCUGAGUGACAGUGGCCAUCCGAAGGCAGUGACUUUCCAGGGCACAAGGACCUCUAAAGGCAAGUGUUUGAGCUCAGCCCUUCUCGGUGGCCCACAGGAAUCGCUUCCCAUUGGAACACUGCCACCAAGGCUCUGGAGCUGAGUUUGUGACAUGGAGACAUUCACAGCAUUUUUCCUGUCCCUCAAGGGUCAGGCAGAUCUGGUGCUUUCCCCCUCCUGGAAAUAGAUAGAGCUGGCUGAAAGCUUCUUGGGAUGAAAUUUAUCUUUUGUGCCUCAGGUGAAAUCUGACCGAUUUUGAAUGGUGUGCGCAUUUCUGGGCUUCCCACCCUCCAGAUCCCCUGGGGCCAGAUUCCUAGCACCCCAGGAAGCUGUUGGGGGAUCUGG
rnacentral:antisense_RNA from 1 species